rnacentral:rRNA from 1 species
GCUUACGGCCACCACCCUGAGCGCGCCCGAUCUCGUCUGAUCUCGGAAGCUAAGCAGGGUCGGGCCUGGUUAGUACUUGGAUGGGAGACCGCCUGGGAAUACCAGGUGCCGUAAGCU